UAGAUCUCCUCAACAUAUAUAUCUGUCGUUCUUGUUCAGUUAUUUUCAACGACAAGCGUGUUGUUUUCCCUUGUAGGGCCGUCUGCGAGGUUUCUAGUGUGGUAAGUCGACCGGACAGUUUUUCCAUUUCUGACUGUAAAGCAGAUACUUCCUGCUUUAUAGAGGAUUUGAUAUCCACCAAAAGCUGUGCAAAAUCCGACUUAUUAGGUAGGUCAGAAAUAAAUGACCGUAGGGAGGACUGGUCGGACUUAUCGUUUAGUGACGCAGUAUCAGGGCCCAGGGCUGCUUCGUCCGCCAUAUUUGAAUCCUCCGUAUGCUCUGAAUCCUCAGGCAGUUUCCCAAAAAAAAUUUCAAUGUCCUUAUUGUGCUUUCCUCCAACUGGCUUUGGGGUUGACCUGGCAGGCUGGGCUUUCAAAUUUUUCUUCAUUCUGGUAAAAUAAAGUGCUAUGAUAGCAAUAUUUUACAGAGGAUGCCCCGGAGCUCCAAGAAAUGUGUCUGGUUAUAAUGUACAUGUUGACUGGUCUCUUCCUCUUAUAGGACCCUCUCCAGUGAAGAUGCUAAAACCAAAACUGACCAACCCAAAGACCCCACUGCUCCAAACCAAACAGCGUCAUCGGCCAACCACUUGUUAAGGUGCUGCAAAGCUGGAAGCUGAGGAACUAGACAUGAUUCAUCAGUACAAGUGUAAGGCUAAGGAGCUGGACACUAGAAUACAGGAAGGGGGUCCAGUCUUCCAUAAGAAGCCGUCUGUCAAGGAAACCACUAAAGCCAUUGGUUUUGACUUGGAAAUAGAGAAGAGAAUCCAGCAGCAGAAACACCUGAAUGGAACUGCACUGAAAAUUCUUAUGGCAGGUUUAUUUAUGUCAUGUGUCAUUUGGCUCGUAGCCCCUCUGACCACCAAGGAUCAUUAUAGGCCGCUUCCAUCUUUGUUUUCAAUAAGGGAGGGCAGGGGUACAUGAGAAAAAAAUCCAACGGCACAGAAAGGGAAAAGUGAACUGGAUCAUAGUGAGAGGUAGAUAUCAAAGAGAGAACAAUGAAACAAAAUAAAGAAAAGGUGAGAGGAUACUAAGAAAAAUAAAAGAAAGCUCUGAUAAAGAUAAGAGAACUGAGUAAAAAUAGAGGCCUAAAAAAGUACUGGCUGUCAAUGAACUCUUUUCUAUGGGAGAAUAGACACUCCCAUUCUUCAUUUCAACCUAGAGUAUCUUAUCUGCUCUUACAUAAUGGUUUUUCAGAGGGGAUUUUCUUUUUUAAAGUUGCGUUUGCAUCACUGCACUUUGCACUGAAGGGGGAUAUUAUUUUAAAAGAACUGUAUAAAAUGUCUCCUUUAACAGACUAUCAGGAAAAACUGUGGCUUUCCGAAGCUAAAUGGAGAAUCUGAAUAUCCUAGUUGCAUCUUGCAAUACUAUAUAUUCUGGGCCAGUACCCAUUUAAGGUGGGCAGGCUCAGUGGUUGGUAUGAUGGAGCUGGUCUGUAUAGUUCAUAUGUUGGAGGAGCUGUGUUUAACCAUGUGGCUAAAAAUUCCAUCACACCUGUAACUUUGGAGUUGACAGCAGCAUGGCAUUGAUCUGUCUUGUUAUGAGCGUUUCCUAUCAUGGCUAUUGACUGAUUGCCCAUAUUCCAGCUGCAUCUUUCUCUUUUCUAAACGUAGAUAGCUUUUCUGGUUCCAUGAUUCAAGAAGGCUUUGAGCUGGCUACAGCAAAAAGGGCCAAGGAGCGCCAGGAGUUUGAGAAGUGCUUGGCAGAGAUGGAAGCUCAAAAGAGCCUUUUGGAAGAAGAGACCACGAAAGCAACGCAAAGAGGAAGAAGAUCUGUGUAUGGCUACUACUGUGUAUGCUGCAGAGGCAGAGUAAGCCAAGACUGUGUUAGGUGUGGGAAUGGUUUGCCAUCCAAUGGCCUUGUUUAGACCACCUCAUGGGAAUUCUGAUUUGUCCAUGAACCACUAACCUUGUGCUCAUUGGUACCCAACACACCCAUAAAGAAUGAACUACACAGACUGCUGCGGGGGUCGCAUGUUAUGAACUGCACUCAAAUAUUUAAUUAUUUUUUUCUCUCUCCUGUGUUUUAGGUGCACAAGGCACAGCCUAUCAGGAAGUUCAAAGCUGUGGAAGUUAAAGCCAGUGACGUCCCACUUGCUGUCCCCACAUCCCCUAACUUCUCUGACAGGUUUAAGUGCUGAUGUGCUCCCUGUACUAAGCAAAUCCAGAUUUCGUGUAGUGGUUACCUAUUCAUGCCCUGGACCAUACAGUCUAUUGAACAAACAAGUGUCCUUUAAAUAGUGGAAUGAAUCCGGGCUCAGCUCUGCUCAUUGGGGGGGGUUAUAUAAAUACUAUUUUAUAUGGCCUGGAGGGGCCUGUUUUUAGGUCUCCCUGUAUGCGAAUACUUAUGCUUUUAUUAUGCCCUGUAAUAAACUUUGGAAAU